AAUCUUCCACAAUGGGCGAGAGCCUGAUGGAGCAACGCCGCGUGAGUGAAGAAGGUUUUCGGAUCGUAAAACUCUGUUGUAAGGGAAGAACAAGUACAGUAGUAACUGGCUGUACCUUGACGGUACCUUAUUAGAAAGCCACGGCUAACUACGUGCCAGCAGCCGGGGUAAUACGUAGGUUGCAAGUGUUGUCCGGAAUUAUUGGGAGUAAAGCGCGCGCAGGGGGUCCUUUAAGUCUGAUAUGAAAGCCCACGGCUCAACCGUGGAGGGUCAUUGGAAACUGGGGGACUUGAGUGCAGAAGAGGAGAGUGGAAUUCCAAGUGUAGCGGUGAAGUGCGUAGAGAUUUGGAGGAACACCAGUGGCGAAGGCGACUUUCUGGUCUGUAACUGACGCUGAGGCGCGAAAGCGUGGGGAGCAAACAGG
rnacentral:rRNA from 1 species